UACAGAGGUCUCGAGCGUUGUUCGGAUUCAUUGGGCGUAAAGGGCGCGUAGGCGGCGGGGUAAGUCUGGUGUGAAAUCUCGGAGCUCAACUCCGAAAUUGCACUGGAUACUGCUCUGAUAGAGGGCUGGAGAGGAGAUCGGAAUUCACGGUGUAGCAGUGAAAUGCGUAGAUAUCGUGAGGAAGACCAGUGGCGAAGGCGGAUCUCUGGACAGCUCCUGACGCUGAGGCGCGAAGGCUAGGGGAGCAAACGGG
rnacentral:rRNA from 1 species